rnacentral:misc_RNA from 1 species
AAGUCGUAACAAGGUAACCAUAGGUGAACCUGCGGUUGGAUCAUUAAAAAAAUUGAAGCUUCAACCCUUUCAAGGGUAGAAGGUCAGCGUUCCUUUAACAAGGAGCUUGACUACUCCAAUUUUGUGAACUUGCAACCAAAAAAAUGUUUUGAUAGUGGUAAAAAUUUGGGCCUUACAGCCCAAGUUUUUCCCUUCUUGAAAAAUUAUUAUUAACCCUGAAGAAAUAACUUGUCUUUACCGUUUUUUAUAAAUAAAAUUAAUAAACAACUUUUGACAACGGAUCUCUAGGCUCUC